rnacentral:lncRNA from 1 species
CCUCGCUGGCGGCAUGAUCUUUGUUGGGGCCAUCUCAUUCUGGAGGCAAACUUCUUCCAAGGAAGGUCAUUCUAUUCAGAGGCUGUUUUCUCAGGAGCAAGAAAUGAUUUGGAUCAGGCAGUCUUCCCUUUGGCAAGAGAUGGACGUGAUGGGGCAGAGGAGAUAUUGAAAGUAUGUGCGCACACAGAGAAGAUAAAUGACCCGCAGAGCCAAAAAUAUUUACCAUCUGGCCCUUUAUGGAAAAAGCUUGCUGACCUCUGCUAUAGAGUCUAAACAUUAAACUUUGAGAAGCUCUGCCCUAAAGAUUUCAAACUCUAUAAGCAGUCAAAUCAACCUUGGUUUCUGUGUAACUAGUGAAAUGACCACAUUCUUCUAGUCAUGGUUCUGGAAUAUUGACUGGAAAAGGACAUUUUCCUUCUUCUGUCUAUCUGCCUGAAUUAUUACGGAUGAAAUCAUUCAAAUUAAACAAUCGGUUUAUUGGAAGACACUCAGUUGUUAUACAAUCAGAAUCGUAUAUCAUUUGUUCCAACACUGGGAUUGGAACUGAGAACAGGAACCAGAAUUUUCCUGAAGCCAAAAGCUCUAUGAGUCAUGGAGCACCCCCAAGCCAGGAAAAUAGCUCAAAAGCUCUAAAACCAGAAGUUUUUCCCAUGCUUUUGGCACUAAAACUCAUUUUUGUAGAAAAAUGUGAAUGGAACUGAUGUGGGCUAUUUGUCAUCUUUAUCCCACCCAGUAUGACCAGUCCUACUUUUCUCUGCAGAAGUGUUGACAUAGCUGAUUGUGGGGCCCUGUCCCGGGGUCUGCUGGGUAUGCAGUGAAUGAGUGAGCCCUCACUACCUUCUCUAACCUGGGGGGCAAGCUGAACUCUGGGCCCAGCUGACCCUAAAGGUUUUCAAUAAGGAACUGUGAAUCUACAUUCCAUUUGAUUAUGGUCUCGGCAAAAGCAGGAUUGUGCAGGUGCCACUACUUUGAAACCAGCAAGAUUCUUUUUCCACAGUGCGCCCACAUAACACGCCCCUCCAAUUUCCUAGUGUUUGCAAACGGUAUAAGCCAAACAUUUGUUCCAGCAAACACGUGAAUACAUUGUACUAAUAGGUUUCUCUUUUACAGACUGUGGACCAAGUAGUAGUAACGUCAAGGUUAUAAACACUAUGAGUACAAACAUAAAGAUUCUUAAAGCCGCACACACUGUUCUUUCUGUUGUUACCACUCCCAAUUUAAAUGAAUUUCAUUCAAAAAAUUCUUUUUUGAGACUCUACUAUGUGUGAGGCACUAAGGUGGGUACACUGAUGAACAGAACAGGCAUCUUCUCC